CCUACGUGAGGCAGCAGUGAGGAAUAUUGGUCAAUGGGCGCGAGCCUGCACCAGCCAAGUAGCGUGAAGGAUGACUGCCCUACGGGUUGUAAACUUCUUUUAUAAAGGAAUAAAGUGAGGCACGUGUGCCUUUUUGUAUGUACUUUAUGAAUAAGGAUCGGCUAACUCCGUGCCAGCAGCCGCGGUAAUACGGAGGAUCCGAGCGUUAUCCGGAUUUAUUGGGUUUAAGGGGAGCGUAGAUGGGUUGUUAAGUCAGUUGUGAAAGUUUGCGGCUCAACCGUAAAAUUGCAAUUGAUACUGGCAGUCUUGAGUGGAAGAGAAGUAUGCGGAAUGCGUGGUGUAGCGGUGAAAUGCAUAGAUAUCACGCAGAACCCCGAUUGCGAAGGCAGCAUGCCGGCUUCCGACUGACGCUGAAGCACGAAAGCGUGGGGAUCGAACAGGAUUAGAUACCCCAGUAGUC
rnacentral:rRNA from 1 species